rnacentral:rRNA from 1 species
AGCGAACGCUGGCGGCAGGCCUAACACAUGCAAGUCGAACGGCAGCACAGUAAGUGCUUGCUCUUACGGGUGGCGAGUGGCGGACGGGUGAGGUAUACAUCGGAAUCUACUUUUUCGUGGGGGAUAACGUAGGGAAACUUACGCUAAUACCGCAUAUGACCUACGGGUGAAAGCAGGGGAUCUUCGGGCCUUGUGCGAUUGAAUGAGCCGAUGUCGGAUUAGCUAGUUGGCGGGGUAAAGGCCCACCAAGGCGACGAUCCGUAGCUGGUCUGAGAGGAUGGUCAGCCACACUGGAACUGAGACACGGUCCAGACUCCUACGGGAGGCAGCAGUGGAGAAUAUUGGGCAAUGGGCGCGAGCCUGAUCCAACCAUACCGCGUGGGUGAAGAAGGCCUUCGGGUUGUAAAGCCCUUUUGUUGGGAAAGAAAAGCAGCAGGUUAAUACCCCGCUGUUCUGACGGUACCCGAAGAAUAAGCACCGGCUAACUUCGUG